UACGAAGGGGGCUAGCGUUGUUCGGAAUUACUGGGCGUAAAGCGCACGUAGGCGGAUACUUAAGUCAGGGGUGAAAUCCCGGGGCUCAACCCCGGAACUGCCUUUGAUACUGGGUAUCUCGAGUCCGGAAGAGGUGAGUGGAAUUCCGAGUGUAGAGGUGAAAUUCGUAGAUAUUCGGAGGAACACCAGUGGCGAAGGCGGCUCACUGGUCCGGUACUGACGCUGAGGCGCGAAGGCUAGGGGAGCAAACAGG
rnacentral:rRNA from 1 species